AAAAUAGCAAGAAUUGUGGAAUAAGGAGAAAAGAGGAAGAUGAUUCUAUGAAGUAUGCCCCCAGAUAGAGGAUAACGCACCAUUUCAAAGGUGAUCUGGAUUUACAUCUAUUUCAGCAUCCUUCCCUGAGAUUCAAUGAGAGAACUAUACUCACAUCAUGAGUAAUGCACGGUAGUAAAGCCUUCAUCCAAGGAAAACACUGAUCUCCUCUGUAUGGAACAACUCUCUGAAGACAGAGUUAAAGCCGGUCUACUCACAAUUAUGACAAAGAGCAGUCCUGUGAUACACAAGAGUUGUACCUUCCAGUCCUUCACUCA